CAGCUUGAAGCUGUUACCUGUAGGUGGUGUCGUGAACACUGCAGUGUUAUGGAGGGCAGGGGUUUUGACACAGGUUGGCAGCAGAGGCCGAAGUAUUUUCCACUUUCCAACCCCGUGGACGAUAUGCCACCUGGCUGACUUCGACUCACCCAACCUGGGACGGUUGACCUUCAAGGCCUCCUGGACUCAGAGCAGCGUAGGAGAGAUCUGGAAGUCAGUCUGGCUCGGGUCGAAAGUGCUCUGCAGAAACAGAGGCUCCGACUGCUCCAGAGAAUGGGCCGAGGGAGCCGGCAUGCACAACCCCAAGUAAUAGACAGCUGCUGCUGCCACCUGUUCUGUAGUAUAGGCUGUGUCCUUCAUGACCACUGAUCUAUGAUUGGACUGGAUACUUGUUUUGAAUCUUUGGCAGAUCAAACGACCAGAAACUCCAUCCCAGACUGUUAUCAGGGAAUGUCUACAUCCCACCAUGUGGUGACCUUUACAGAAGGAGCAAGACAACCUUGAGCAUCUGCUGGAGGAGUCUAGGGCCUAGCAGGGCCUGGUGGAGCAGGUAAGGGAUGCCUCAGAGGCCCGUAUGGAAGCCCUCCACUCCCAGCUAUAUUAGGAACGCUUCAGCUUCCAGGAGACACACAGAGAGAGACUGGCCACACAGGCAGAGCAACAUGGCAGCAAGCAGGUGGAGAAUUGGAAGACCAGACCAACUAAACUGGUACAGGGAUUCACACCCAAAAUGGAUUCAAGUGGUUCCUUCUACACUUCGUAUUUGUACAGAAGCAUGUAAUCUUGCCAGACGUCUCGGUAGUAUCUAACCCAGGCCUCACCUGAUAAGGCUAACAGAAAACUGAACGGGGUUGUGAACCAGUAGAAGUCAGGUUUUACCAAUCAUCACACCAGUUGUGAGUAGCCACACAACAGUUGUCUGUAUAAUAAUGCCACAGUAAAGACAUAUACUAUUUUGUGUAACACCACUAUGUUGGCUGAUGAUCUGCAGAUGAAUAAGUCCCUGUAAAUGGAGGUGGUGUCUCUCAGACAGAGGCUGGGGUCUGCAGAGGAGUGACCAACCUGAUGGAGAGUGACAGGCACCUACUCAGGGUUAUCCUAGCGGCACCGGAGACUGAGCGGGAGGAGCUGUUUCAACAAGGACACCCCUCAGCCAUUGGGUAAGGAACCCCCAGCCUCUAAUAUUGGUGCACUUCGAGGGCUGAAAGAAUCAAAUGGAUAAAAUCAAUAUGGUUCUACUUAGCUCUUUUAUAGGCUGGGGUAGAAUGUCCUCCGUAUUACUGCCUUACACCUAUCCAAACCUUAUGGUCGUCAUACGUGCAAAGAGAGUAUGGGUGGAUUUGGGAUGGAAUCAGUAUCUCUACCUUCAAUCUUGAGGUAAUGGAGAAUUUUAUUUUCUCAUUGUUUUCACUCUUUACAUCAGAGUGCUGAUAGCUCCAGAACACGGAGAAACAGUCAGACUUCUAACGGAGGAACAAAAAACAGUGGUUUGUCAGUCCAAUUGGAAAUGGUCAGACUUACAAAGGACGAGCCAGAAGCAUGGGUUUGUCAGUCCACAUCUUUUUGUCUCUUAGGAGCACUUGGGAAACGAAAGUGGAAAUCUCUGGAAAGGAGGAGAGGGUGAGGGAGGAGAGUGCCGUGUAUGAAAUGGAGGAACAAGAUGAGGAGGAGAGAGCGGAAGGGAAUAAUGUGUGUUAUUCAUCUGCAGUCAAAAUUCAGUGAGGACUUAAGAUCCAUGAGGUGACCCACUCUAGGCCUGGCCCACAGAAAGAAAUAAAGGAAGAGAACCUGGUAACUGCCUCUUUGGGAGUCCUUUCCUACAGCACCAUGUCACGUUGAAGCGGUCUAACAUGUGGCAGACUGAUGUUUCCUUUCAAACAUACCUCUCCUCCAAACUCCACUUCAGCAGUU